rnacentral:rRNA from 1 species
AUUGAACGCUAGCGGGAUGCCUUACACAUGCAAGUCGAACGGAGUGGCGAACGGGUGAGUAAUGUAUCGGAACGUGCCCAGUAGCGGGGGAUAACUACGCGAAAGCGUAGCUAAUACCGCAUACAAUUGGACGGGCCGAUACCGGAUUGGCUGGUUGGUGGGGUAAGGGCCCACCAAGGCGACGAUCCGUAGCUGGUUUGAGAGGACGACCAGCCACACUGGGACUGAGACACGGCCCAGACUCCUACGGGAGGCAGCAGUGGGGAAUUUUGGACAAUGGGGGAAACCCUGAUCCAGCCAUCCCGCGUGUGCGAUGAAGGCCUUCGGGUUGUAAAGCACUUUUGGCAGGAAAGCGGUACCUGCAGAAUAAGCACCGGCUAACUACGUGCCAGCCGCCGCGGUAAUAC